rnacentral:rRNA from 1 species
AGUGAACGCUGGCGGUAGGCCUAACACAUGCAAGUCGAACGGCAGCACAGGAGAGCUUGCUCUCUGGGUGGCGAGUGGCGGACGGGUGAGGAAUACAUCGGAAUCUACUCUGUCGUGGGGGAUAACGUAAGGAAACUUACGCUAAUACCGCAUACGACCUACGGGUGAAAGCAGGGGACCUUCGGGCCUUGCGCGAUUGAAUGAGCCGAUGUCGGAUUAGCUAGUUGGCGGGGUAAAGGCCCACCAAGGCGACGAUCCGUAGCUGGUCUGAGAGGAUGAUCAGCCACACUGGAACUGAGACACGGUCCAGACUCCUACGGGAGGCAGCAGUGGGGAAUAUUGGACAAUGGCGCAAGCCUGAUCCAGCCAUAUCGCGUGGGUGAAGAAGGCCUUCGGGUUGUAAAGCCCUUUUGUUGGGAAAGAAAUCCAGCUGGCUAAUACCCGGUUGGGAUGACGGUACCCAAAGAAUAAGCACCGGCUAACUUCGUGCCAGCAGCCGCCGUAA